rnacentral:rRNA from 1 species
UGUCUCAAGAUUAAGCCAUGCAUGUCUCAGUACAAGCCGAAUUAAGGUGAAACCGCGAAAGGCUCAUUAAAUCAGUUAUGGUUCCUUAGAUCGUACACACAUUUACUUGGAUAACUGUGGUAAUUCUAGAGCUAAUACAUGCAAACAGAGCUCCGACCGGAGACGGAAGGAGCGCUUUUAUUAGAUCAAAACCAAUCGGUGGCGAUUCACGUCGUCAUCGUACAACUUGGUGACUCUGAAUAACUUUACGCUGAUCGCACGGUCUUGCACCGGCGACGCAUCUUUCAAAUGUCUGCCUUAUCAACUGUCGAUGGUAGGUUCUGCGCCUACCAUGGUUGUAACGGGUAACGGGGAAUCAGGGUUCGAUUCCGGAGAGGGAGCCUGAGAAACGGCUACCACAUCCAAGGAAGGCAGCAGGCGCGCAAAUUACCCACUCCCGGCACGGGGAGGUAGUGACGAAAAAUAACGAUACGGGACUCAUCCGAGGCCCCGUAAUCGGAAUGAGUACACUCUAAACCCUUUAACGAGGAUCAAUUGGAGGGCAAGUCUGGUGCCAGCAGCCGCGGUAAUUCCAGCUCCAAUAGCGUAUAUUAAAGUUGUUGCGGUUAAAAAGCUCGUAGUCGAAUCUGUGUCCCGCGCCGCCGGUUCAUCGUUCGCGGUGUUAACUGGCGUGUCGCGGGACGUCCUGCCGGUGGGCUUAGCUCGUGAGGGCGGCCCAACUCAAUCCCGCCGCGGUGCUCUUCAUUGAGUGUCGAGGUGGGCCGGCACGUUUACUUUGAACAAAUUAGAGUGCUUAAAGCAGGCUAAAACUUCGCCUGAAUACUGUGUGCAUGGAAUAAUGGAAUAGGACCUCGGUUCUAUUUUGUUGGUUUUCGGAACCCCGAGGUAAUGAUUAAUAGGAACGGAUGGGGGCAUUCGUAUUGCGACGUUAGAGGUGAAAUUCUUGGAUCGUCGCAAGACGGACA